CUGUGCUAUUUUCUCUUCUGUGUGUGAUUUGGAAGCUCUUAUAACUUGCUUAGCCUCUUUCUGCCUAAUCUUAUAGAUCAUUUUGUCUUCAUCACUCUGUUUUUUUUUUUAUAAAUGCUAAAUGCUAACUUUUUGUUUUUAACUAUUAUGGCCACAUCUGCGGAGUACCACAGUGGUUUCUUGAAUUUUUUGCUUUUACUGACAAG